rnacentral:tRNA from 1 species
UCCCCGAUAGCUCAAUUGGUAGAGCGAGCGGCUGUUAACCGCUAGGUCGCUGGUUCGAGUCCAGCUCGGGGAG